UACGUAGGGGCCUAGCGUUGUCCGGAUUUAUUGGGCGUAAAGAGCUCGUAGGCGGUUCGGUAAGUCAGGUGUGAAAUCUCCACGCUCAACGUGGAGGCGCCACCUGAAACUGCCGUGACUCGAGUCCGGUAGGGGAGUGUGGAAUUCCCGGUGUAGCGGUGAAAUGCGCAGAUAUCAGGAAGAACACCUAUGGCGAAGGCAGCACUCUGGGACGGUACUGACGCUGAGACGCGAAAGCGUGGGGAGCGAACAGG
rnacentral:rRNA from 1 species